rnacentral:rRNA from 1 species
UACAGAGGUCUCGAGCGUUGUUCGGAUUCAUUGGGCGUAAAGGGUGCGUAGGUGGCGCUGUAAGUCGGGUGUGAAAUCCUGAGGCUUAACCUCGGAACUGCAUUCGAUACUGCGGCGCUUGAGGACUGGAGAGGAGACUGGAAUUCAUGGUGUAGCAGUGAAAUGCGUAGAGAUCAUGAGGAAGACCAGUGGCGAAGGCGGCAUCCUGGACCGGCAUUGACGCUGAGGCGCGAAAGCCAGGGGAGCAAACGGG